rnacentral:lncRNA from 1 species
UGGGAUUUUGUCGAUUAAUUUCUCUGAUCAUAUCCAACAGAUAUUGGUUAAGGAUAUGGAACUCAUGGUGGUGGUUAAAUUGCUAGGAUGGAAUAUAGGUUAUGCGGUUCUAUACAAUCAAGUUAGCAGUUUGUGGAAGCCAUCCAGACCGUUUCGGCUCAUGGACAUUGAAAAUGGGUACUUUUUAGUAAAAUUCCAGAGUGUGGAAGAUUUUGACAAAGUACUCUCUCAGGGUCCAUGGAUCGUAUAUGGUCAGUACUUGACCAUUCAGCCAUAGAUGAUUGACUUCAACCCACUUCAACCGUACCCGAGCAUGGUGUUGGCUUGGAUCAGAUUGUCUGGCCUUCCUGGACAUCUGUACAAGAGAAAGAUCAUUCUAAAAAUAGGGGGAUUGGUUGGGAGAGUGGAAAAAGUAGAUCUUAAUACUAUUAGUAGAUUUAGGGGACAAUUUGCCUGUUUAGCAUUAUCUGUUAACAUUGACAAACCUCUGGUUUCCUAGGUUCGGGUCAAUAGAGAAAUCCAAAAGGUCGAAUAUGAAGCCUUACCUUUAAUCUGUAUUAACUGUGGCAAAUAUGGAUACACGAAGGAUUUGUGCCCUCUAUUAAUCGGAAGCCGGGGUCAAAGAGAGGAGAAGGAGCCAGCGGUGGGUCCAUCGAGUUCGAAUGAAGAUCAGUCGAAUGAACCAGCGGUCUUCGGUCCGUGGAUGCAGGUUCAAAGGAAAUCGUGGCGAAAUAUUAGGGAUUCUCAAAAUCAAAGUUUGAAGAAACAAGGGAAAGCGAUGCCAGGGUUGAGAUUUGCGAUGCUAAUUAGGCCUGAUGAAAAUGAAGAAGAUAUGAGUAAGGGCUAGUUUGGUAAUUCUUUUUAAAAGUACUUUUAAAAAGUGCUGUGGGAAACUGUUGUAGGAAAGCGUUUUUGAGAGUGUUUUUAAAAAGUUUAGUUUAAAAUUUGAAUGUUUAGCAUUGCUGUCAAAAAGUACUUUUGAGAAAUAAAAUGUC